rnacentral:rRNA from 1 species
UGGGGAAUAUUGCACAAUGGGCGCAAGCCUGAUGCAGCCAUGCCGCGUGUAUGAAGAAGGCCUUCGGGUUGUAAAGUACUUUCAGCGGGGAGGAAGGGAGUAAAGUUAAUACCUUUGCUCAUUGACGUUACCCGCAGAAGAAGCACCGGCUAACUCCGUGCCAGCAGCCGCGGUAAUACGGAGGGUGCAAGCGUUAAUCGGAAUUACUGGGCGUAAAGCGCACGCAGGCGGUUUGUUAAGUCAGAUGUGAAAUCCCCGGGCUCAACCUGGGAACUGCAUUCGAAACUGGCAGGCUAGAGUCUUGUAGAGGGGGGUAGAAUUCCAGGUGUAGCGGUGAAAUGCGUAGAGAUCUGGAGGAAUACCGGUGGCGAAGGCGGCCCCCUGGACAAAGACUGACGCUCAGGUGCGAAAGCGUGGGGAGCAAACAGGA